CACCUUGCAACCAACCAGAGUGAGCAUGGAAGAGGGCCCCAGGCAUUAAGAGGACACCCCAGACCUAGCUGACUCCUUGAUUCAAACUGCUAUUUCACCAGCUUGUGCAUUUGAGUUUGUCAGACACUUAAAACAUGGACCUACAACACCGCCCAAGGUUGGACAUUUGGCAGUGGCAAAAACUAGAAUGGCUUUUGU